AGUGAACGCUGGCGGCAGGCCUAAUACAUGCAAGUCGAACGGACGCACAGUAAGAUUUCGCCUCUACGGGUGGCGACUGGCGGGUGGGUAACGCAUACAUAGGAAACCAAUUAUACUUGGGGGACUACGUAGGGACACUUCUGCUACUACAGAAUACGAUCUACGGGAGAAAUCAGGGGUUAUAGACACUUUGCGCGUCUGUAUGAGCCGGUGCCGGAUUAGAUAGUUGGCAGGGUAAAGGACCACCAAGGCAACGAUCCGUAGCUGGGCUGAGAGGAUGAUCGGCCACACUGGAACUGAGACACGGUCCAGACUCCUACGGGAGGCAGCAGUAGGGAAUAUUGGACAAUGGGCGCAAGCCUGAUCGAGCCAUGCCGCGUGAGUGAUGAAGGCCUUCGGGUCGUAAAGCCCUGUUAUUAGGGAAGAAAAACUGCGUAUGUAAACACCGCUGUUUUGACGGUACCCAAACAGUAAGCACCGGCUAACUUCGUG
rnacentral:rRNA from 1 species